AAAUAUUUUUAUGAUGAGGUUAUAGUUCAACUGAUCAAUACUGAAGAUUACUAAUUAUGUCUUUCGCUCCUAUCUGAUUCUAUUU